GUUGCUCUGAACAGGUUCGUCCCCUCCUACGGUCUUCACAGCGACACGACCGUAAGCCCGUCCCGAAUUCCUCGCCGUCGACUCUUCCCUUCCCUUUCCGCCCAUCGGAAGUUUUCGUAAGGUUCCUGCUCACCAGCUAGUUUGACACCAUGGUCUCAUUUGAGAUGAAUGAUCUGAAAAAAAUUGGGCUGGGCUUGACGGGGUUUGGGAUAUUUUUCUCAAUCCUAGGAAUCAUCUUUUUCUUCGAUAAGGGACUUCUGGCUAUGGGGAAUAUUCUCUUUCUGUCAGGCGUGAUGCUGACCAUUGGGCUGAAAUCCACGAUGCAGUUUUUCACUAAGCCUAAGAAUUUCAAGGGUACAAUUUCAUUUGGAUCUGGCUUCACUUUAGUGCUUAUUGGAUGGCCUGUCAUUGGCAUGAUCUUGGAAUCGUAUGGAUUCAUCAUUCUCUUCCGUGGCUUUUGGUCAACACUAGCGAUAUUUUCACAAAGGAUCCCUAUAAUUGGCUGGUUACUCCAACAGCCAUUUGUAUCAUCGUCAUUCUGCAUUUUUCAUCUCUUGUUUUGCAGUUCUUUAAUCGCUACAGAGGCAAUAGAGUCCCGGUAUAAUUGGUCAACAAAUUUUUUUGUAGAUGCAUGCCCAACAUAUUGAAGUUCUAUGUGCAUAGCGGUCAACUAAAGCUCCAGACUGGCGAUUUUACUUUUUCAUUCUUGUGUUGGAUUAAAGAUGUAGAGGAUGGAUUCAGUUGAUCAUUGGGAGUGCCGUCCCCUCUGAGAAUCUAGACAGUCAUUAGCCCUAUGAUUUGGUGGAAUCAAGUUUCAUGCGUUAUGCAUGGUCAACCAUGUUUAGCCAUGUUGCGAACAUUAGCCACUGGCCAUAUCUUGUGGCUUUCCCGGUUGGUGAUCCAUCGCAAUAAGAAAGAGAAAGAACCGCAUUCUUCGAUUCUUUUGCGCGCACCGACAAGGCGUCCAGCUCAUUUGAUCAAGAAGAAGACCGAGAAUACAAGUUGCAGGGCGGAAAUAUAUGAAAGAGAUGAAGACAUGAGGAGAAGAAGUGAUGAUGCUGCAGUGUCUGGUAAUCUGUUAAUUCGGCGGUGGUUGAUGAAGCGCCUUAUAGGUCAUGUACUCUGACGACCUCGACUUCGACGUCGCCGGCUUUACCGAACAAUUCGAGAGGCUGCAUGGAAUAUAGUGCGACACCGGGCAGUGCUUCGGCCGCCACAGGAAUUUGGAGCAUUCCGACGGCGGCCGCUGCUCCGGCAGUCCCACUAUGCAGUUAUGCCGCACGUCGAGCACUUUGCUCUUGACCAAGUCCCAGCAGGAGAGUCCCAGCGAGGUGAAGUAGUUCCCCGACAGCGACAGGUUCGCCAAGUUGCCGUCCUUGGCCAGCCGGCAUACCACGUCCGGCACCUCCCCGUAGAGCAGAUUCCCCGCCAGGUUCAGCUGCUCCACCUUGAGCAGGCAGCCGAAGGACCACGGUAUCGGCCCGGUGACCUGAUUGAACCCCGCGUCGAACACCGUCGCAAUGCUCAGUAAUCCGAUCUCGUACGGUAGGCAGCCGGAGAGCUUGUUGUUGAGGAAGAGCACCUCGACCAGGGUUUUUGACGCGUUGCAGAUGGACCGGGGGAUCGGCCCGGUGAAGCCGUUGUUGGCCAGGGUCAGGUAGGCCACCGGCGAGCUGCCGAGGUCGGCCGGCAGCGGCCGGAAGAAGUUGUUGUUGUUGAGGAAGAGCACGUCGAGGUCGAGGGCGAAGACGGAGGCCGGGACGGAGCCGGCGAAGAGGUUGUAACGGAGGUCUAGAAAGAUGAGGUUGCUUAGCGCGAGGACGUCGGCCGGGAACGGGCCGGAGUGGAGGUUGUUGCUGACGUCGAGCUCGUAGAGGUAGGGAAGGCCGGUGAGGUCGGGGAUGGGGCCGGAGAAGUUGUUGGAGUUGGCGUGGAAGAGCGCGACGUCGGGGAGCUGGUCGACGAAGCCGGCGACAGUCGGCGCGCAGAGGCGGAAGCCAUUGAAGUCUACGGAGGCGAUGGUGGGCGUGUCGGGGGAGUCCGGCGGGGCUGCACAAUAGAAGCCCUGGUAGGUGCAAGGCCGGUAGCCCACCCAUGUCUGGAUGACGCCAUUAGGAUCGCAGGUGAUGCUCCGCUUGAAGCGUUGGAUGACGAGGUAGGCGUAGUACUGCUUGAGGUUGGGGAAGUCGGAGGGCUGCGGCUCGGACGACGGUGGCGACGCAGGCGGUGAGCAGCCGCAAGAAUUAUCCGUUGGAGAUGGCGACGCAGUGGGGCUCUCGCUGCCACUGCCACUGCCCCCGACGCCAACGCCGAUGCUAAUCUCAAUGGCUUUUCUCUGUCGCUCCAAUUGCGUACGGCCACUGAGGGAGGGAGAGAUGAGGAGGAAGAUGAUGCAGAGAACCAGCAGCAGUGUUCUGAUAGCCAUGUUAAAGCUUCUCUUCCUUCAUUUGGUUCCUCCUCCUAACUUGUUUGUUUCCGUGCAGUGUAGUGUUGUGAUAUAUGUCUCGAUCUUGAGACUGUUUGGCCGAGAGAGAGAGAGCAUGUGUGAACGGUGAUGCAUAAAGUGGGGGGAGGAAAGCGACAAAAAGAGGGAGGGAGGGGCCCGAAGGUCACGAGGAGAACAGAAUCAUACUUUGCGCAAAAGAAGGAGAUGGAUUGGGGACAAUAAUACAGUGGUCGCGGUUGGACGGGGCGGAGUCUACGGUGGGGACUGAUCACGGAUGGCCAUGGGAAGAUUGGUUGGUAAGACUCCACUGUUCAUCUUCUUUAAUAGGGUUUUGUUUGCCUGCUGCUGCUGGUGAUGGGAUUGUCACAGGAAACUAGCAAGAAUGCAGAGUGAUACUUUGAUGAUAAGAUUGGCAGGCAUGAGAAGUUUCCAAAAGCAUGAGAUUACCAGUUGACAAGUUCCGGCCUGGACAUUGCAGACGGGGAAGUCAGGGGGGCAGCAGCUGCGGUGAUCUUCACAGCAGGUUGCACCUUCAACAGGACAGCAUCCCCAGGCGAAGCAGUGACGGCCAUACUCAUAGACACAACAACAAGUGGUGCUCGACGGGCAGGAGAAGUACUUGUCACACGUGAUCGGAGGGCUCACGGGCGAGGGAGGACUCGGUCCAGGAUUGGGCGGAUUCUGACCCUUCUUUGUGGGGUAAGAAGGUUCUAUCGCGAUCCCGCACUUGCCGGUGGAUGUGUUCAAGUUGCGCUCCAUCCUGAUAUAGCCAGCCUCUCCCCAGUCACUGCUCCAUGAGUUCCUGACGAUCCAGUAAUCCUUGCCAUUUUCAGUACCAUAGCCAACAACAACUACACCAUGAUCCAGCUUUGUGCCACAUCUUCCUGUGAAAACUCCCUGAAACAAAUAUUGCACAGCUUGUAACACAAAAGAAAAAGGAAUAGUAGAUAGUAGCAUUUACAGACGACAAUUGUAGAAACAUGAAAGCAUAGUUCUUGUCAAAUGCUGAUCUAAUUGUUGUCUUUGUGUUCUGAA